rnacentral:lncRNA from 1 species
AUAAGUGCUCCUUUGUUCUCUGAAGCCCAGGGUCUAGCUUCCACACACUCUUGGAACAUUUCUUGGUUACAGUGAUAUUCUCAAAAAGAGGGCAUACCUAUCUACUCCAUAUCUGGCCUUGACCCUUGUCAGAAGAAUCUGCCAUGUGGCCUCUAGUCAAUCCAACAGCUGCAAGGACCCCACAAAGUGAUCCCAAGCCAGCCUCCUCCUGUGGGGUACGACCAAAGGAAUCGCAUCUGGCAGUGUUGUCCCCCUCCGUGUCUCCCUCUGGGAAACCAUUAGGAGUGUCCGUGGCUAUCAAAGGCUUUUCAUUGUAUUGCAGCCUCUCAGUCGGCAGCCCCAGGAAAACCCCUCCACCAACACUCACAGCUGGUCACUCUGUAUUACGUAGAACACAGGUUCUGGGUUUGAAUCUUGACUCCAGCUACUCAUCAGCCACCCUGAGGUUACUCAGUCUCUCUGGGCCUUGUUUCAAAGACGGGGUGAAAGACAUACCUUAUGUUACAGAGUCCAAGGUUGAGAACCCUAUAAUCUCCCCUCUCAAGUACCCAGCAGCCCCCAGAGACGAGAGGAAGCCAGGCCUAUCUCCCAGAGCUGGAAACCAAUUGUCCUUUUCCUGCCUGGAGACCCCCACUCCAGAGACAAAAAGGCACUCAAAGCCCCUAGCAUAAUGUGCCUUGCCUAGGCCAUUCUUGUAAGGGAG